CGGCGUGGCGGCGGCCUGGGCGGCCUCGGGCGCCGCCGGCGCCGCGAUGGGCUGAGAGCGGGCAGCGGCGGCAGCGGGGGUGUCCGCGGCUCCGGGCUGGGCCCCCGAGGAUGGAGAGAGCCAUGGAGCAGCUCAACCGGCUGACCAGGUCCCUGCGCCGCGCCCGCACCGUGGAGCUGCCGGACGAUAAUGAAACUGCUGUCUAUACACUGAUGCCGAUGGUUAUGGCUGACCAGCACAGGUCUGUCUCAGAGCUGCUGUCAAAUUCAAAAUUUGAUGUGAAUUAUGCCUUUGGACGUGUGAAGAGAAGUUUGCUUCAUAUUGCAGCAAACUGUGGAUCAGUUGAAUGCCUUGUUCUAUUAUUAAAAAAAGGAGCAAAUCCAAACUAUCAGGACAUCUCAGGAUGCACUCCUCUCCAUUUAGCAGCAAGGAAUGGCCAGAAAAAAUGUAUGAGCAAGCUGCUGGAAUACAGUGCAGAUGUCAACAUUUGUAAUAAUGAAGGCUUGACUGCAAUUCAUUGGUUGGCUGUCAAUGGACGAACAGAAUUGCUUCAUGAUCUUGUUCAGCACGUCAGUAAUGUAGAUGUUGAAGAUGCCAUGGGACAGACAGCCCUUCAUGUAGCUUGUCAAAAUGGACACAAGACAACGGUACAGUGUUUGCUGGACAGCGGUGCAGACAUAAACAGGCCCAACGUUUCUGGGGCAACUCCGCUUUAUUUUGCUUGCAGCCAUGGUCAGAGAGACACUGCACAAAUUCUUUUGAUGAGAGGAGCCAAAUACUUACCAGACAAGAAUGGUGUUACUCCACUGGAUCUCUGUGUACAGGGUGGUUAUGGAGAGACUUGUGAAGUCUUAAUACAGUACCAUCCUCGGCUUUUCCAGACGAUAAUUCAAAUGACACAGAAUGAAGAUCUGCGGGAAAACAUGUUGCGGCAAGUUCUGGAGCACUUGUCUCAGCAAAGUGAAAGCCAGUAUCUUAAAAUCUUGACAAGUCUUGCUGAAGUUGCUACAACAAAUGGUCACAAAUUACUCAGCUUGUCAAGUAAUUAUGAAGCUCAAAUGAAGAGUCUCUUAAGGAUCGUGAGGAUAUUUUGCCAUGUCUUUCGUAUUGGCCCAUCCUCUCCCAGUAAUGGAAAUGACAUGGGCUACAAUGGAAAUAAAACUCCAAGAAGUCAGGUGUUCAAGGUCAGAAAAGUAUAUGAUGUUGUUAGGAAGAUAGACGUUAAAGAGAUGAAUUUCACAAAGCAUGCAUUCAUUAAUCAGACAUCUCAUGAACAGGAACCGCUGGAACUGCUCUGGCAUUCUCUGGAUGAAUGGCUUGUUCUGAUAGCCACAGAGCUGAUGAAAAACAAAAGGGACUCUGCCAACAUUACUUCUAUUUUAUUGAAGCAAAAAGGACCAGAUCACCAAGAUGCUACUUCUGCACCUUCUUUUGCCACUGCAGGAGCUGAGGGAAGAAAAGAGCUGUCCACUAAUGCUGUCGAGUUAAAAACAUAUGAUGUUGCUGGGAAGCAGGAAGCUUGUGCUGAUUGUCAGGAUGUUGUCUCCAUGACAGCAAACAGGCUAAGUGCUGUCAUUCAAGCCUUCUAUAUGUGCUGCUCCUGUCAGAUGCCUCAGGGGAUGACAUCACCUCGUUUUAUAGAAUUUGUUUGUAAGCAUGAUGAUGUCCUUAAGUGUUUUGUUAACCGAAAUCCCAAAAUAAUUUUUGAUCACUUUCAUUUUCUUCUGGAGUGUCCUGAACUAAUGUCCAGAUUUAUGCACAUCAUAAAAGCUCAGCCAUUUAAAGAUCGCUGUGAAUGGUUCUAUGAACAUCUGCAUGCCGGGCAGCCAGAUUCAGACAUGGUGCACAGGCCUGUCAAUGAAAAUGACAUACUGUUGGUUCACAGAGAUUCUAUUUUUAGGAGUAGCUGUGAAGUUGUGUCUAAAGCAAACUGUGCAAAAUUAAAGCAGGGGAUUGCUGUGAGAUUUCAUGGAGAAGAAGGCAUGGGACAGGGUGUGGUGCGUGAAUGGUUUGAUAUCUUAUCCAGUGAAAUAGUUAACCCAGAUUAUGCCUUAUUUACCCAGUCAGCUGAUGGAACAACUUUCCAGCCGAACAGCAACUCUUCUGUAAAUCCAGAUCAUUUGAACUACUUCCGUUUUGCAGGCCAGAUCCUGGGGCUGGCUCUGAAUCACAGGCAGCUGGUGAACAUCUACUUCACAAGGUCAUUCUACAAACAUAUUCUUGGCAUACCUGUAAAUUAUCAGGAUGUAGCAUCUAUUGAUCCGGAGUAUGCAAAGAACUUGCAGUGGAUUUUAGAUAAUGAUAUCAGUGAUCUGGGUUUAGAGCUGACCUUCUCUGUUGAGACUGAUGUGUUUGGAGCAAUGGAAGAAGUACCAUUGAAGCCGGGGGGUGCGAGUAUACUUGUUACACAGGAAAACAAGGCUGAGUAUGUCCAGCUUGUGACAGAGCUCAGAAUGACAAGAGCCAUUCAGCCUCAGAUAAAUGCCUUUUUACAAGGCUUCCAUAUGUUCAUUCCACCAUCUUUGAUCCAACUUUUUGAUGAAUAUGAACUGGAGCUUUUGUUGUCUGGUAUGCCAGAAAUUGAUGUGAAUGACUGGUUAAAAAAUACAGAAUAUACCAGUGGCUAUGAGAGAGGAGACCAAGUUAUUCAGUGGUUCUGGGAUGUGGUGGAAGAACUAACUCAGGAAGAGAGGGUAUUACUAUUACAGUUUGUUACUGGCAGGGAAAGCCACUUUUAUUUCCCUGAUGGUUUGGGGGCAGUGAGGGAACAUUUUAGCAAUAAGUCCCCCUGCGAGCUGGUUCCAGGGUGCCUCAUGGUGGCUUUGCCCAUAUAAUGGGUGGCAGUGGAUUGCAAAAUUUUACUAUUGCUGCUGUGCCAUAUACUGCAAAUCUUUUACCAACAUCAAGCACAUGUAUCAACAUGCUGAAGUUACCUGAGUACCCAAGUAAAGAAAUCCUGAAAGACAGGCUUCUUGUGGCAUUGCACUGUGGAAGCUAUGGUUACACAAUGGCAUAAUGAAGUCUAGAAAACCCAUCUGACUGUUAAUGUGCAAUUUUGAGUGGCAGAAAUAAUUUUGGAAACUGUCAAUAGAAAAGCGUCUUCAAUGCUGCAGCCCAUUGGCAGGGUUGGGCUUCAGAACAGCACCAUCAGCUUUCCAUUAUUGUGUUGUCAAGGUAGCUCUGAUACCAUCAUAACAAACUUCUCAGUGUGCUGUAUUUUCAUUUUUUAAAUUACAGAUCUGUAUGGAAAUCAGUUUACAUGCUUUUCAUUAUUAUUUCAAUCUGAGAAAGUUUGUCAGAAUCUCUUUACACAGUUUACAGUUGAUUUCCAACUAUAUGGUUAAAUGACAUUUGCAUUGCAGUUUACUUUGCACUCGGAUGGAAUACUGCAAAUGAAAAGAGUUGUACUUUAUGCCUUGUUGCAUGUGAAAGUGCCAUUUAUUUUUGCAGACCACUACAGAAAGUUCCAUUGGAAUAUUGUACAGUAAGAUAGAGCUGAUGUAUUUUCCAUUUCUUUGCAGAAAGAAACAGAAAGAAAAUUUUAUAACUUUUUAGUAUUCUAAUGUAUAUAAUAUGUAAAGAUUAGACUGUUAUGACCGGAAAAAACCAACAGAUUGAGUUUAUCUAGUUUAUAUUAGAAUUUACACUAUAUUCUACUAAAUAUUUCAAGUAUUUGUGACUUUAUAGUCAACUUGCAGUUUAGAAUUUGUAAAUAUUGCUUAAGAUCUAUAACCAUUGUUUGAAUGCCUUUACUCUUUCCUUGAUAUAAUUGUAUGUUCAAAAGGUAUUAAUUAAAUUUUAAUAUUUUAACCAGAA